rnacentral:lncRNA from 12 species
AGGGCUAGAGGGACCACUGGCUUGAUCCAGCAUGGCAUUUCUGAUAUUCUUAUGAAAAAUAUUUUGUUUGGGGCCCAGAAUGACAAAUAGCUCAGGGUCCAAUAGAAACAUCAUUUUCUAGGAGAAGAAAUUGCUUUACAGACAGUGUACAGCAAAAUAAAAUAUCUCACCUCUACAGCUUAUGCCCUCUGUCGCCGAUAAAGAGUUUUUAUAUAAGACUUUUUUUUCUUUCUCUCUUUUCAAACUUACAUUUGGUUGAAUAGAUUUCCCAAGAGCUUAAUUCCUCACCUAUCCAAUGUUUCUGACCCUUGACAGGCUACAAGAAGUGGAACAGGUUAGAUCCUGAAGUACUGAGAAAUGCCUAGGUGUGCAGUGGUUGGACUGGUAACCUUUUCCUGCACCAUCCUCAGCACAAGUGUGGGGGCUUGGACACAGAGAGGAAAAUCUUCUUCUGCACUUUGAGUUUGUGCUGAGGCUCAAGACUUACCUACAUGGGUCAGUAGAAGAUAAACAUUUAUGCAUUUAUACAUGCAGGAUGCUGUUGCGUGAUGUAUUGCUUCCAUUGAGAAUCCAUGUUCUGUGUGAAGAUACUGUGGCUUAAGAGGAAUUGUGUUAUAUCAU